rnacentral:rRNA from 1 species
GACGAACGCUGGCGGCGUGCCUAAUACAUGCAAGUAGAACGCUGAAGGAGGAGCUUGCUUCUCUGGAUGAGUUGCGAACGGGUGAGUAACGCGUAGGUAACCUGCCUGGUAGCGGGGGAUAACUAUUGGAAACGAUAGCUAAUACCGCAUAAGAGUAGAUGUUGCAUGACAUUUACUUAAAAGGUGCAAUUGCAUCACUACCAGAUGGACCUGCGUUGUAUUAGCUAGUUGGUGAGGUAACGGCUCACCAAGGCAACGAUACAUAGCCGACCUGAGAGGGGGAUCGGCCACACCGGGACUGAGACACGGCCCAGACUCCUACGGGAGGCAGCAGUAGGGAAUCUUCGGCAAUGGACGGAAGUCUGACCGAGCAACGCCGCGUGAGUGAAGAAGGUUUUCGGAUCGUAAAGCUCUGUUGUAAGAGAAGAACGAGUGUGAGAGUGGAAAGUUCACACUGUGACGGUAUCUUACCAGAAAGAGACGGCUAACUACGUG